CCUACGGGUGGCUGCAGUGGGGAAUAUUGGGCAAUGGACGCAAGUCUGACCCAGCAACGCCGCGUGAAGGAAGAAGGCUUUCGGGUUGUAAACGUCGUUUAAGGGGGAAGAGCAGAAGACGGUACCCCUUGAAUAAGCCACGGCUAACGACGUGCCAGCAGCCGCGGUAAUACGUAGGUGGCAAGCGUUGUCCGGAUUUAAUGGGUGUAAAGGGCGUGCAGCAGGCGAGAGAAGUCAGAUGUGAAAUCCCCGGGCUCAACCCGUGAACGGCAUUGGAAACUGUUUCCCUUGAGUGUCGGAGAGGUAAUCGGCAUUCCUUGUGUAGCGGUGAAAUGCGUCGAUAUCAGGCAGAACCCCAGUGGCGAAGGCGGCUUACUGGACGAUACCUGACGGUGAGGCGCGAACGCGUGGGGAGCACACAGGAUUAGAUACCCUUGUAGUC
rnacentral:rRNA from 1 species